rnacentral:rRNA from 1 species
CCUUGACAUGCAGAGAACUUUCCAGAGAGUGGAUUGGUGCCUUCGGGAACUCUGACACAGGUGCUGCAUGGCUGUCGUCAGCUCGUGUCGUGAGAUGGUUGGGUUAAGUCCCGUAACGAGCGCAACCCUUGUCCUUAGUUACCAGCACGUUAUGGUGGGCACUCUAAGGAGACUGCCGGUGACAAACCGGAGGAAGGUGGGGAUGACGUCAAGUCAUCAUGGCCCUUACGGCCUGGGCUACACACGUGCUACAAUGGUCGGUACAAAGGGUUGCCAAGCCGCGAGGUGGAGCUAAUCCCAUAAAACCGAUCGUAGUCCGGAUCGCAGUCUGCAACUCGACUGCGUGAAGUCGGAAUCGCUAGUAAUCGUGAAUCAGAAUGUCACGGUGAAUACGUUCCCGGGCCUU